UUGGGGGGUGGAUGAUGGACCACUCAUCUGAAAGGUGGUGUUAGAGUUUGGAGACCAGAUCACUUGGGGGUGGGGAGCAGACCAUGAGGGGCAGAUCUCUCUGAGGAAAUGAACUGAACCAAGAACAGGGUGAGGGAAAGGGAAGAGACCAGGUCAAGUAGCUUUACCAUGGACCAUCUCUUUAAAUCCAUACAGCAUUUUACAGCAGAGGAUCUGGGGCUCCAAAAUGUAGAGUGACUUCCCCAAAGUAAUACACAGUGACAGAGACAUACUCUCUUAAACGUCAAGAAAUUGGAUUAUAAAUAUGUGCAGAAAAGUGCACGAAUCAUCAGUAUACAUAUGGAUAGAUUUUCACGCAGUGAACAAACCCACGUAGUAUCCGCUGAGGUUAAGAAAUGGUGCACUGCAGAAGCACAUCAGGUCCUUGCCCAGUCCCAAUCCCUUUCCCUUCUUUCCUGAUUAUAAACAGCAUCAAUUAGUUUUGCCCAUUGUGUUUGCCUUCUUUUACUCGUUACGUUAAUACAAGAUAUUGCAUAAGUUUAUACAUCAUUUGAAUAUACUACCAUUUAUUCAUUCAUUCCACUGUGGGUGGAAAUUUGGUUGUUUCCAAUUUAGGGUAAUCAUCAAUCAAUAGUGCUGCUGGGAACAACUAUAUAUAUAUAGUUGAAUAUAUGUUAUAGGAUAUGUACCUUAGUGUGGAAUUGCUUAGGGUAUUCAUAUGUUUAGCUUUAGCAGCUACUGACAGACAGGAAUCUGAAUUGGUUGUACCAGUUUUCACUCCCACCAGCAAAGUAUGAGAAUUCCAGUUGCUCCACAUGUUCACCACUCUUUGGUGUUGUCAAUCUUUUUCAUUUCAGCCAUUCUAAUGGGUGCAUACAUUAGGACUCUCGAGAAAAAGAACCAGUAGGGUGUGUGUGUGUGUGUGUGUGUGUCUGUGUAGACAAGUCCAUAAUCUUCAGGAUAGGUCAGCAGGCUGGAGACCCAGGAAAGAGCUGAUGCUGCAGUUCAAGUCUGAAGGCCUUCCGCUAACAGAAUCCACCCUUCUUCAUGAGACUUCAUUCUUUUUCUGUUUUUCCUAUUAAGGCCUUCAACUGAGACCAUAAUGAGGUCCACCCACAUUAUGAUUUUUUACUUCUAUGUUCAUGAGAGAGAAUGGCUUCUUUCUUACGUAUUUCAUAGAAUUCAUCAUUGAAGACAUCUAGUCAUGGAGUUUUCUUUGGCCUUCGCAGCACUCCACCCGAGAUCAGCAUGGAUGGGUACUGAUGGGACGACCAGCAGGAUGACAAGAGAGCCUGGUGGGUGAAAGGGGUUCACAUAGCCGGAACCUUCUCACCGUUCAGUUCUCAGCCUAUAAGCCCCUCCUGAGAGCGCCCACCCUGGGACCCUCUGUCCAAAGCAGCCCCUGUCCACAGUCCCUCCCUCAUACAUGGUCUCCACCAUGGCCUGAAACUGUCUUUCUCAUUUAGUGGUUUACUUGUUUAUUGAGUGCCACCCUCUCCCCACAACCCCACAAUUGCUACAUGAAAGUGAGGACCUUGGCCCUUUUGUUCCCACAGCAUGUACCCAGGUGCCUAACACAGUGCCUGACACACACAG